UACGGAGGUCCCGAGCGUUGUCCGGAUUUAUUGGGCGUAAAGCGAGCGCAGGUGGUUUAAUAAGUCUGAUGUAAAAGGCAGUGGCUCAACCAUUGUGUGCAUUGGAAACUGUUAGACUUGAGUGCAGUAGAGGAGAGUGGAAUUCCAUGUGUAGCGGUGAAAUGCGUAGAUAUAUGGAGGAACACCGGUGGCGAAAGCGGCUCUCUGGACUGUCACUGACACUGAGGCUCGAAAGCGUGGGUAGCAAACAGG
rnacentral:rRNA from 1 species